CCGUGCCCGGCCAUGAGCCACUGUACCCGGCCCCCACCCCAUACUUCUAAAGCUGCUGUGCCCAUAACUAGGGAAGCAGAAGAGGACAUCUUCCUCCUGCCCUGGCAACCAUGUGCCUAGGCUCAAGAAUGGUGAUCCUCCCAUCCAGAACUUGGAAUCUUCGCGGCAUGUCACAAAGACCCAGGGUCACUUUGCAAAUUAUUCCCAGAAGUUGUGGCAGCCUCAAGAGGCAGGGGCACAGCCCAUGCUCAGCUGGAAUUCUGUGGCUUAACCCAAGGAUUUCCUGUGUGUCAUGAGAGAUAACACAACACUCUCACCAAUGAAGUAGCGUAAAUUAUAUUUAGUACCCACAAGCUGGGAGUCCUAGGAGGGAACAGCUUGUGUUGGAAGACAACCAAAGCAAUGUCAUGGAUCCAGGGAGCAGAAUUUACUCUUCUCUGUUAAGAAGCAGCUCUGGUGUCCUGACCAAAUGUCAGAAGAUGGGACUUUGCUCAGACCAAGCUACCAAAGACCACUGCCCUUCAUUUCAUGAGCUCAGCCCUGUCUACCCAGACGAGCAACUGAGGAGCCUGAUCCAGGAGCCAACAGAUAUUUACAACCACUGA
rnacentral:lncRNA from 13 species